UAAUAAGUGUUUUAUGGCACUUUUAAAUCCAUAUCUACCUUGUGUGCAAUGUCAGUCGAUCUUCUUCAUGGAGAUCGACCAAACAUCAACCUUUAUCUUUUAACUCUUUGUCUGAAAAAUAUUAUGAAUAAACAAUUCAAAAUA
rnacentral:misc_RNA from 1 species